AGAGUGAACGCUGGCGGCAGGCCUAACACAUGCAAGUCGAACGGCAGCACAGUAAGAGCUUGCUCUUAUGGGUGGCGAGUGGCGGACGGGUGAGGAAUACAUCGGAAUCUGCCUAUUUGUGGGGGAUAACGUAGGGAAACUUACGCUAAUACCGCAUACGACCUACGGGUGAAAGCGGAGGACCUUCGGGCUUCGCGCAGAUAGAUGAGCCGAUGGUCGGGUUAGCGUAGGUUGGGUAGGGGUAAACGCCCACAAGGCGACGAUCGUAGCUGGUCUGAGAGGAUGAUCGAGCCCACACGUAGGAACUGAGUACCGACGGUCCAGACCUCCGUACGGGAGCAGCGAGGUGGGAAUAGUUGGACAAGU
rnacentral:rRNA from 1 species